UGGGCAACCUGCCCUCAGCUCUGGGAUAACUCCAAGAAAUUGGGGCUAAUACCGGAUAUGACUGCUGACCGCAUGGUCUGGUGGUGGAAAGAUUUUAUCGGCUGGGGAUGGGGCCCCGCGGCCUAUCAGCUUGUUGGUGGGGUAACGGCUCACCAAGGCAACGACGGGUAGCUGGUCUGAGAGGAUGGCCAGCCACAUUGGGACUGAGACACGGCCCAGACCUCCGUAGGGACG
rnacentral:rRNA from 1 species